AUACGUAGGGUGCGAGCGUUAAUCGGAAUUACUGGGCGUAAAGCGUGCGCAGGCGGUUGUGUAAGUCUUUUAGAUGUGAAAUCCCCGGGCUCAACCUGGGAACUGCAUUUGAGACUGCACGGCUAGAGUGUGACAGAGGGGGGUAGAAUUCCACGUGUAGCAGUGAAAUGCGUAGAGAUGUGGAGGAAUACCGAUGGCGAAGGCAGCCCCCUGGGUUACUACUGACGCUCAUGCACGAAAGCGUGGGGAGC
rnacentral:rRNA from 1 species